CUUUGGUGUGCUGUUUUGCUCGUCUUAAGUAGAACUCUCUCUCUCUCAAGAACUAAGAUUUAAUUCUAGUCUGAAUGAUUUGGAUUAAUAGAGAAAUAAGUAAUUUCUUAUUUAGUUAAGCCUGAUAAGGUUGGGUACUUCCAUGAAAGAGCAUGGCAGAUGUGGUCAGAUAGUACAUAGAAAAUAUGCUAAUCUUUUUACUCUUUGUAGACUUGCAUGUGACGUCUCACCUUGGAUUCAUCUUUUAAAAACAGCCAAUUAAACAGACCAUUGCAGUCAUUCAGAUUGUGAAGAAUAUGAGCGCUUUAUGUCUCCAGUUUCCAAAAUCACUGAUGUUAUCAUUCUGUGGACAUGGACCAUGAAAUUAUACCACUGUGAAGUUCUGGAAGAAAAUGCAAAACUACUGUUAAAAAUCACAGACUUAAGGACAAACUAUCUCAGCUUUGGAAGCAAAACAACCUUAGAUUUAGUGCAACGCAGAACGGAAUCAAUCACAUCCACCAACAAAAAGUGGUCUAUCUUGUAUCUCAAGCUGGAAGUUGAAUAGUGGCCACAGUAGAGAUCAUAAACCUGAGGGAGCCGGAUUUCAGACCCAGCGCACAGUAUUGAAGACAGGAGAAGCACACCAUCGUGACGCAGCAGAUCAGUGAAGGGCCCACUAGUGUGUGAUCACCAGCCACUGAGUAUGAGGAACGGGAGAACUGGCCUGUCACGAGGUUUUAAAGAACUGAAAGCUGGAGAAUGGUGAACAGCGGUGCACAGAGCGUUAGAGCUGGCAGCAACAGCAGCAGCAAGUCAGCUCAAGAGACAGCGUACCAGAGGAUGGUCAGCAUGCUGCAGCAAGGGCAGAGUUUGAAGUCUCAAGGACCUGUGGCCACUAUCAAUUUGAACUCUGAAAACCUAAAUGGCUUCAACAUUUGGUAUAACAAGUUGUGAAAACAUGCUCAAUUUGUGUUGAGUGUCGGAGAGACCAUUGUUAUCUAUAGCAGAGCCAAGAAAUGUGUUCAUCAACUUUUUUCUAGGACAGGCACGCUUGGUAUCUUUCAUGAAAUUCAUGUGUUUUCUAGAGUUGUCCUUUGACAAGCUGCCCACAAGAGUAUUUCUACAUUUUAAUAUUUAUUUUUAUAAAUUGGAUAUUGGGGCAGGGAUGGGUUCUUUAAGCUGGAAGCUGCUAAUUCCUCCUGAA
rnacentral:lncRNA from 1 species